rnacentral:rRNA from 1 species
AGCAGCGCGGUAAUACGUAGGUGGCAGCGUAUCCGAUUUAUGGCGUAAGCGAGCGCAGCGUCUUUAGUCUAUGUGAAGCCUCGGCUCACCGAGAGUGCAUGAACUGGGAGACUUGAGUGCAGAAGAGGACAGUGGAACUCAUGUGUAGCGGUGAAAUGCGUAGAUAUAUGGAAGAACACCAGUGGCGAAGGCGGCUGUCUGGUCUGUAACUGACGCUGAGGCUCGAAAGCAUGGGUAGCGAACAGGAUUAGAUACCCUGGUAGUCCAYGCCGUAAACGAUGAUUACUAAGUGUUGGAGGGUUUCCGCCCUUCAGUGCUGCAGCUAACGCAUUAAGUAAUCCGCCUGGGGAGUACGACCGCAAGGUUGAAACUCAAAAGAAUUGACGGGGGCCCGCACAAGCGGUGGAGCAUGUGGUUUAAUUCGAAGCUACGCGAAGAACCUUACCAGGUCUUGACAUCUUCUGCCMACCUAAGAGAUUAGGCGUUCCCUUCGGGGACAGAAUGACAGGUGGUGCAUGGUUGUCGUCAGCUCGUGUCGUGAGAUGUUGGGUUAAGUCCCGCAACGAGCGCAACCCUUAUUACUAGUUGCCAGCAUUCAGUUGGGCACUCUAGUGAGACUGCCGGUGACAAACCGGAGGAAGGUGGGGACGACGUCAAAUCAUCAUGCCCCUUAUGACCUGGGCUACACACGUGCUACAAUGGAUGGUACAACGAGUCGCGAAACCGCGAGGUUUAGCUAAUCUCUUAAAACCAUUCUCAGUUCGGACUGUAGGCUGCAACUCGCCUACACGAAGUCGGAAUCGCUAGUAAUCGCGGAUCAGCAUGCCGCGGUGAAUACGUUCCCGGGCCUUGUACACACCGCCCGUCACACCAUGAGAGUUUGUAACACCCAAAGYCGGUGGGGUAACCUUUAGGAGCUAGCGUCUAAGGUGACMG